rnacentral:rRNA from 1 species
UGAGGAAUAUUGGUCAAUGGGCGCAAGCCUGAACCAGCCAUCCCGCGUGCAGGAAGACGGCCCUCUGGGUUGUAAACUGCUUUUCCAGGGGGAGAAUUUUUCUGUCGUGACAGGAAUUGACGGUACCCUGGGAAUACGCAUCGGCUAACUCCGUGCCAGCAGCCGCGGUAAUACGGAGGAUGCGAGCGUUAUCCGGAUUUAUUGGGUUUAAAGGGUGCGUAGGCGGAUAGAUAAGUCAGUGGUGAAAACCUGCAGCUCAACUGUAGACUUGCCGUUGAUACUGUCAGUCUUGAGUAUGGUAAAGGUAGGCGGAAUGUGUAGUGUAGCGGUGAAAUGCUUAGAUAUUACACAGAACACCGAUUGCGAAGGCAGCUUACUGGGCCAUUACUGACGCUGAUGCACGAAAGCGUGGGGAGCGAACA